rnacentral:ncRNA from 1 species
AACCGAACAUCGACAGGAAGAGUAAAAAACGGCGGUUCCACAGCGAGUCAACGUCUGGUGCAAGUUGACGAUCCUAAGUUUUUGAACAUGGUCCUUGAGUUCUUCGCGCUGGUGAGCAAUUCGUUAGCCAGCACCGGGUGCGCCCGUUAUCGCGUCAGGGUAUCUCUUCAUGGACGUACCUAUCGAGUAACCAGCAGUGAUGCUGGUUAGAAUUCAGGGUGGUAACACGAUUUUAUUCGUCCCGUAG